rnacentral:rRNA from 1 species
AGUACAGUAGAGGUGGGCGGAAUUCGUGGUGUAGCGGUGAAAUGCUUAGAUAUCACGAAGAACUCCGAUUGCGAAGGCAGCUCACUGGACUGCAACUGACACUGAUGCUCGAAAGUGUGGGUAUCAAACAGGAUUAGAUACCCUGGUAGUCCACACAGUAAACGAUGAACACUCGCUGUUUGCGAUAUACAGUAAGCGGCCAAGCGAAAGCAUUAAGUAUUCCACCUGGGGAGUACGCCGGCAACGGUGAAACUCAAAGGAAUUGACGGGGGCCCGCACAAGCGGAGGAACAUGUGGUUUAAUUCGAUGAUACGCGAGGAACCUUGCCCGGGCUUAAAUUGCAGUGGAAUGAUGUGGAAACAUGUCAGUGAGCAAUCACCGCUGUGAAGGUGCUGCAUGGUUGUCGUCAGCUCGUGCCGUGAGGUGUCGGCUUAAGUGCCAUAACGAGCGCAACCCUUAUCUUCAGUUACUAACAGGUCAUGCUGAGGACUCUGGAGAGACUGCCGUCGUAAGAUGUGAGGAAGGUGGGGAUGACGUCAAAUCAGCACGGCCCUUACGUCCGGGGCUACACACGUGUUACAAUGGGGGGUACAGAAGGCAGCUAGCGGGUGACCGUAUGCUAAUCCCAAAAUCCUCUCUCAGUUCGGAUCGAAGUCUGCAACCCGACUUCGUGAAGCUGGAUUCGCUAGUAAUCGCGCAUCAGCCACGGCGCGGUGAAUACGUUCCCGGGCCUUGUACACACCGCCCGUCAAGCCAUGGGAGCCGGGGGUACCUGAAGUACGUAACCGCAAGGAUCGUCCUAGGGUAAAACUGGUGACUGGGGCUAAGUCGUAACAAGGUAACCA